GCGCAUCAUCAAUGCAAAAUUAAGUGUUAAUUACUACUUUACGAAUAUACAUAUAACGAAAUGCCUUUGUAUAUGGUGGAAAAUUGUAUUCGUUUCAUUAAAUUGCCGGUAAUAGUCAGCGUCCUUAAAAAAAAACAACCACCCCUCGUAAUACGACUGAACUAUUCAAACCACGCGGCCUAAUGCUCAGGAGUGAGAGCCACAUACAAAUCCCCAUGGAAACCGAAGUGUCUCUGUCUUUCGCGCCCGAUGUACCAGAGCGAGUAGAAAACUAAUUUCUUAACGUGAAACUGGAUUAUAUCAAAGUUUCCCAGCAAACAAUUGUGCAUUGUGCUUAUUGUUCCAACACCGGUUGUUGCGAGGAGUUUAAAACACAUUCAAGGCCCUGAAACGUCGAGUAUCCCUGAUACUUUCAACUUUAAUAGCUUGAUGCAUAUAAGCACUUAGUGAGUGGGUAAUUCGAAUGCAUUUCAGGCCAAUAACUCCUUGAGUGGUGUUUAAGUUGUCGCAACUGGAAACUUGAAAAGUACGCUCUAUUCCAUGCGAUAAAUCUUUGCGUUCAUCCUCGAUUGCCAAUGUAGGUGGAGAUGAAGCUACAAUACAUUUCAUAAACAUCUGUCAGAGGCGGAACCUACCCGAUGAAAUGUAAAGGCCGCAUUUGAACUAUAUCUCUUUGUGGGGAAAUUUCAUUAAAUUCGUUUUAUGAUC
rnacentral:lncRNA from 1 species